AACGAACGCUGGCGGCAGGCUUAACACAUGCAAGUCGAGCGAGACCUUCGGGUCUAGCGGCGGACGGGUGAGUAACGCGUGGGAACGUGCCCUUCUCUACGGAAUAGCCCCGGGAAACUUGGAGUAAUACCGUAUACGCCCUUUGGGGGAAAGAUUUAUCGGAGAAGGAUCGGCCCGCGUUGGAUUAGGUAGUUGGUUGGGUAAUGGCCCACCAAGCCGACGAUCCAUAGCUGGUUUGAGAGGAUGAUCAGCCACACUGGGACUGAGACACGGCCCAGACUCCUACGGGAGGCAGCAGUGGGGAAUCUUAGACAAUGGGGGCAACCCUGAUCUAGCCAUGCCGCGUGAGUGAUGAAGGCCUUAGGGUUGUAAAGCUCUUUCAGCUGGGAAGAUAAUGACGGUACCAGCAGAAGAAGCCCCGGCUAACUCCGUG
rnacentral:rRNA from 1 species